rnacentral:rRNA from 1 species
UACGUAGGCAGCGAGCGUUGUUCGGAGUUACUGGGCGUAAAGGGUGUGUAGGCGGUUGUUUAAGUUUGGUGUGAAAUCUCCCGGCUCAACUGGGAGGGUGCGCCGAAUACUGAAUGACUUGGAGUGCGGGAGAGGAGAGUGGAAUUCCUGGUGUAGCGGUGAAAUGCGUAGAUAUUGGGAGGAACACCAGUGGCGAAGGCGGCUCACUGGACCGGUUCUGACGCUGAGGCGCGAAAGCGUGGGGAGCAAACAGG